UCAAAAAUGGGGAUUUUUUUUUUUGUGUUGGCAGGAGCAUGACAGCUUUUGCUGGGCAAGAAGACAAAAGAAGGAGAGUCCAGCCGGGGCUGCGCUUAGCUGCGCGGUCUUGCGAGGGUUGUAAGUUUCCUUCUUGCUAUUCCAAACGGUGAAAGAUUUCGGUGCUUUUGUUAUAGGACAAUUAAAACCGUUUCAAUACAACACGCGGUGGAGUUUUCAUAUCUUUGCAACUUUUUCUUUGGGCAUUCCAGCAAUCUCGGGGCCCAGAGGUAACAAACACAAACAAUUUUAUCUAUUCAUUAAAUUUUUGUCAAAAACAAAAAUUUUCGUAACUGGAAAUUUUAAAAUAUUAAAAACUUUCAACAACGGAUCUCUUGGUUCUCGCAUCGAAAAACAACGCAGCGAAAUGCGAUACGUAAUGUGAAUUGCACAAUUCCGUGAAUCAUCUAAUCUUUGAACGCACAUUGCGCCCCUUGGUAUUCCGGGGGGCAUGCCUGUUUGAGCGUCAUUUCCUUCUCAAACAUUCUGUAUGGUAAUGAGUGAUACUCUUUGGACUUAACUUGAAAGUGCUGGCCUUUUCAUGGGAUGUUUUCUUUCCAAAGAGAGGUUUCUCUGCGUGCAUGAGGUAUAAUGCAAGUACGGUCUUUUUAUGUUUUACCACCCGCGGCUAAUCUUUUUUUAUACUGAGCGUAUUGGAGCGUUAUCGAUAAGAAAAGCAGCGUCUAGGCAAACCACUGUUCUUAAAAUUUGACCUCACAUCAGGGUAGGGAGUACCCCGCUGAUCUUAAGCAUAUCAUUAAGGCGAGAAGAAAAAGAAACCCCACCCGGGCAUUUGCCCUAUCAGUAACGUGAAAG
rnacentral:rRNA from 1 species